GGCCGCCUGGUGUAGUGGUUAUCACGUCUGCUUUACAUGGUUACAUUUGUUUGUUCCUAAUAUCGCAGCAGGUCGCAGGUUCGAUCCCUGCGGUGGUCA
rnacentral:tRNA from 1 species